rnacentral:rRNA from 1 species
UACGGAGGGAGCUAGCGUUGUUCGGAAUUACUGGGUGUAAAGCGCACGUAGGCGGCUUUGUAAGUUAGAGGUGAAAGCCUGGGGCUCAACCCCAGAAUUGCCUUUAAGACUGCAUCGCUUGAAUCCAGGAGAGGUGAGUGGAAUUCCGAGUGUAGAGGUGAAAUUCGUAGAUAUUCGGAAGAACACCAGUGGCGAAGGCGGCUCACUGGACUGGUAUUGACGCUGAGGUGCGAAAGCGUGGGGAGCAAACAGG